GAUGAACGCUGGCGGCGCGCCUAACACAUGCAAGUCGAACGAUUAAAGCACCUUCGGGUGUGUAUAAAGUUGCCAACGGCUGAGUAACACGUGGGCAACCUGCCCCUCUCUUUGGGAUAGCCACUGAAAACCGUGGAUAAUACCGAAUACCUCGGAACUUCCGCAUGGAAGACCCGAGAAACCUCCGGCGGUGCGCGAUGGGAGGGCGGCUUGUUGGCUUGUCGGUGGGGUAAUGUCCUACCAAGGCAAUGCUGGGUAGCUGGGUUGAGAAACCAAACAGGCACAAGAGGACUACGACACGGACCAGAGGCGAACAGGGGGCAGCGGGGGGGAAUCUUGCACAAUGGGCGAGAGCCUGAGGAAGAGACGCCGCGUUCGGAAUGAAGGCCUUGGGGUUAAAAACCGCUUUCAGCAAGGACGAGGCGAUAGUGACGGUACCUGAAGAAGAAGCCCCGGCUAACUACGUG
rnacentral:rRNA from 1 species